rnacentral:rRNA from 1 species
UACGUAGGCAGCGAGCGUUGUUCGGAGUUACUGGGCGUAAAGAGUGCGUAGGCGGUUUUCUAAGUUUGGUGUGAAAUCUCCCGGCUUAACUGGGAGGGUGCGCCGAAAACUGGAAGGCUUGAGUAUGGGAGAGGUAAGCGGAAUUCCUGGUGUAGCGGUGAAAUGCGCAGAUAUCAGGAGGAACACCGGUGGCGAAGGCGGCACACUGGCUCGACACUGACGCUGAGGUGCGAAAGCGUGGGGAGCAAACAGG